CCUACGGGAGGCAGCAGUGAGGAAUAUUGGUCAAUGGGCGGAAGCCUGAACCAGCCAAGUAGCGUGCGGGAUGAAGGCCCUACGGGUCGUAAACCGCUUUUGCACGGGGAUAACACCCUCCACGUGUGGAGGUCUGCAGGUACCGUGCGAAUAAGGGCCGGCUAAUUCCGUGCCAGCAGCCGCGGUAAUACGGAAGGCCCGAGCGUUAUCCGGAUUCAUUGGGCUUAAAGGGAGCGUAGGCGGGCUGUCAAGUCAGCGGUAAAAUCGCGGGGCUCAACCGCGCCCCGCAGUUGAAACUGGACGCGUUGAGUUCACAACAGGCAGGCGGAAUGUGUGGUGUAGCGGUGAAAUGCAUAGAUAUCACGAGGAACCCCGAUUGCGAAGGCAGCCUGCCGGGGUGCGACUGACGCUGAGGCUCGAAGGUGCGGGUAGCAAACAGGAUUAGAUACCCGUGUAGUC
rnacentral:rRNA from 1 species